GAUGAACGCUGGCGGCGUGCCUAAUACAUGCAAGUCGAGCGAACAGAUGAGGAGCUUGCUCCUCUGACGUUAGCGGCGGACGGGUGAGUAACACGUGGAUAACCUACCUAUAAGACUGGGAUAACUUCGGGAAACCGGAGCUAAUACCGGAUAAUAUAUUGAACCGCAUGGUUCAAUAGUGAAAGACGGUUUUGCUGUCACUUAUAGAUGGAUCCGCGCCGCAUUAGCUAGUUGGUAAGGUAACGGCUUACCAAGGCAACGAUGCGUAGCCGACCUGAGAGGGUGAUCGGUCACACUGGAACUGAGACACGGUCCAGACUCCUACGGGAGGCAGCAGUAGGGAAUCUUCCGCAAUGGGCGAAAGCCUGACGGAGCAACGCCGCGUGAGUGAUGAAGGUCUUCGGAUCGUAAAACUCUGUUAUUAGGGAAGAACAAAUGUGUAAGUAACUAUGCAUGUCUUGACGGUACCUAAUCAGAAAGCCACGGCUAACUACGUG
rnacentral:rRNA from 1 species